AAAUUUCAACGUGUUGGUUUUCACUUUCAACUCGUUAGUUUUCACUUUCAACGAGUUGGUUGUGAAAACUAACGCGUUGAUUUGUCAU
rnacentral:sRNA from 1 species